rnacentral:ncRNA from 1 species
GCUGAAGCACGGCACCGAAGCUGCGGGACGUAAGGCGGAAGCCUUGCGUCGGUAGGGGAGCGUUCCGGCUGCGGCGAAGCACGACCGGAAGGACGUGUGGAGCGGCCGGAAGUGAGAAUGCCGGUAUGAGUAGCGAAAAGGCCGGUGAGAAUCCGGCCCACCGAAAGCCUGAGGGUUCCUGGGGAAGGCUCGUCCGCCCAGGGUCAGUCGGGACCUAAGCCGAGGCCGAAGGGCGUAGGCGAUGGGAAACCGGUGGACAUUCCGGUACCACCACCGGCCGUCUGAGCGAUGCGGGGACGCAGGAGGCUAGGGAGACCGGGCCGCUGGUUGUGCCCGGGCAAGCCGGUAGCCUGGCCCGGCAGGCAAGUCCGCCGGGCUAGAGGUGAGAGGCGAUGCGGACCGAAGUCGAGUAGGGAAGCUCCCGACGCCACACUGCCGAGAAAAGCCGCUAGCGAGGCACGGGGUGCCCGUACCGCAAACCGACACAGGUAGGCGGGGAGAGAAUCCUCAGGUGCGCGGGAGAACCCUCGCCAAGGAACUCGGCAAAAUGCCCCCGUAACUUCGGGAGAAGGGGGGCCUUCCGGGGUGAGGCAUCCAUGCGGUGCCAAGCUCUGGGGGGUCGCAGAGGAGAGGCCCAGGCGACUGUUUACCAAAAACACAGGUCUCUGCGAAGCCGGAAGGCGACGUAUAGGGGCUGACGCCUGCCCGGU